rnacentral:rRNA from 1 species
GUGCCAGCAGCCGCGGUAAGACAGAGGUGCCAAGCGUUAGGCGGAAUCACUGGGCUUAAAGCGUGUGUAGGUGGAUUUGUAAGUACCUUGUGAAAUCCCAUGGCUCAACCAUGGAACUGCUCGGUAUACUGCGAAUCUUGAGCCACUUAGGGGCUACCGGAACAAAUGGUGGAGCGGUGAAAUGCGUAGAUAUCAUUUGGAACGCCAAUGGUGAAAACAGGUAGCUGGGAGUGUGCUGACACUGAGACACGAAAGCCAGGGGAGCGAACGGGAUUAGAAACCCGGGUAGUCC